UACGUAGGUCCCGAGCGUUGUCCGGAUCUAUUGGGCGUAAAGCGAGCGCAGGUGGUUUAUUAAGUCUGGUGUAAAAGGCAGUGGCUCAACCAUUGUAUGCAUUGAAAACUGGUAGACUUGAGUGCAGGAGAGGAGAGUGGAAUUCCAUGUGUAGCGGUGAAAUGCGUAGAUAUAUGGAGGAACACCGGUGGCGAAAGCGGCUCUCUGGCCUGUAACUGACACUGAGGCUCGAAAGCGUGGGGAGCAAACAGG
rnacentral:rRNA from 1 species